rnacentral:rRNA from 1 species
GACGAGGGGUCCUAGCGUUGUUCGGAAUCACUGGGCGUAAAGCGUAUGUAGGCGGCUCUCUAAGUCGGUCGUGAAAUCCCAUGGCUUAACCAUGGAAUUGCGUUCGAAACUGGAGAGCUUGAGUGUGGGAGAGAUUGGUAGAAUACCUGGUGUAGUGGUGAAAUACGUAGAUAUCAGGUGGAAUACCGGUGGCGAAGGCG